UACGUAGGGGGCAAGCGUUGUCCGGAAUCAUUGGGCGUAAAGAGCGUGUAGGUGGUUCGAUAAGUCUGCUGUGAAAGUCCAGGGCUCAACCCUGGGAUGCCGGUGGAUACUGUCGGGCUAGAGUUCGGAAGAGGCAAGUGGAAUUCCUGGUGUAGCGGUGAAAUGCGCAGAUAUCAGGAGGAACACCAACGGCGAAGGCAGCUUGCUGGGACGAUACUGACACUGAGACGCGAAAGCGUGGGUAGCGAACAGG
rnacentral:rRNA from 1 species